UUCAACAAAAAACAAGUUUGAAGUUAGCCCGAGAAUCCUACAUGCAAACAUAAAAAUUAGUUACUAAGAAAAGAACUCACACUCUUUACAAUUAGAAAUUUCCUUUAGAGUAGACCUAGUUUGUUGGAGUUGUUUGAUUUCCUAGCUCUUAACACUUCUGCCUUUGCUGCAAUGGAUUGAAACUGAGAUUCCUUGAUUUGGUCUCUAUUUUCUCUCAGUACUGUCUUGGACUGUAGACGAUACCAAAGGUAAUUGAAAGGACAUGUACGAGAUCAGACUAGAGUGAAAUAACUUCAUAUGGUUGUUGACAUUGAAAGUUCUUGGGGAGAAAAGGAGGGGAAUGUUGAUGAUGAAUAGUAACAGAAUGAAGAGAAUGUGUUAAGAUGGGAGUGAAAGUGGGGUUGGUGGUAAAAGAAAGGAAAGUGUUGCAUGGGUUGGUUGUACACAUGAGUGAGAGAGAGAAAGAGAAAAGUCACUACGCCAAAAAUGACAUUUAAC
rnacentral:lncRNA from 1 species